rnacentral:rRNA from 1 species
GUGCCAGCAGCUGCGGUAAUACGAAGGGGGCAAGCGUUGUUCGGAAUCACUGGGCGUAAAGGGCGCGUAGGCGGACAUUUAAGUCAGGGGUGAAAUCCCGGGGCUCAACCCCGGAACUGCCCUUGAUACUGGGUGUCUUGAGACCGGAAGAGGCAAGUGGAACUGCGAGUGUAGAGGUGAAAUUCGUAGAUAUUCGCAAGAACACCAGUGGCGAAGGCGGCUUGCUGGUCCGGAUCUGACGCUGAGGCGC